rnacentral:tRNA from 1 species
GACUAGUUAGCUUAGAGGGUAGUGCGUCUGCCUUGUAAGCGCUAGGCCGCGGGUUCGAUUCCCGCCCGGGGCG